AGCGGCCGCGGUAAUUCCAGCUCCAAUAGCGUAUAUUAAAGUUGUUGCAGUUAAAAAGCUCGUAGUUGAAUUUCGGAAUCAAUAUAUCGGUCGUGCCUUGGUACGUACUGGUAUCAUUGGUUUCUCCUUUCUGACGAACCAUGAUGUCAUUAAUUUGGUGUUAUGGGAAGUUAGGACUGUUACUUUGAAAAAAUUAGAGUGUUUAAAGCAGGCUUUAGCUUGAAUACAUUAGCAUGGAAUAAUGAAAUAGGACGUUCGAACCUAUUUUGUUGGUUUCUAGGAUCAACGUAAUGAUUAAUAGGGAUAGUUGGGGGCAUUAGUAUUCAAUUGUCAGAGGUGAAAUUCUUGGAUUUAUUGAAGACUAACUACUGCGAAAGCAUUUGCCAAGGAUGUUUUCAUUAAUCAAGAACGAAAGUUAGGGGAUCGAAGACGAUCAGAUACCGUCGUAGUCUUAACCAUAAACUAUGCCGACUAGGGAUCGGAUGAUGUUAAUUUUUAAUGACUCAUUCGGCGCCUUACG
rnacentral:rRNA from 1 species